rnacentral:rRNA from 1 species
UACGGAGGGUGCAAGCGUUAUCCGGAUUCACUGGGUUUAAAGGGUGCGUAGGUGGGCAGGUAAGUCAGUGGUGAAAUCUCCGGGCUUAACCCGGAACUGCCGGUUGAUACUAUUUGUCUUGAAUAUAGUGGAGGUGAGCGGAAUAUGUCAUGUAGCGGUGAAAUGCUUAGAUAUGACAUAGAACACCAAUUGCGAAGGCAGCUUGCUACACUAUUAUUGACACUGAGGCACGAAAGCGUGGGGAUCAAACAGGAGUUAGAAAACCCCAG